AUUUUUUGGUUUUAUCUAGUAUGCUGUUCAAUUUGAAAUGUGCUAAUUAUUUCUAACAGAUUUUUUCCCAUGUCUUAAGUGUCCAUCGAUGGAUGAAUGAAUGAAGAUAUAUGUGUGUGCAUAAUAAUCAUUUCACAAUAUAUACAGGGAGACUCUUGCUUUUGCCUUCAGCCACUCUGUUCACAUGGGGAUCUGCCCGAGGUGGCUUUGCUUCUCCUUUGGAGACAUUCAGAACUGUCUGGGAAUCGGUCACAUGGAAAUCUAUCAAGUCAAAAUGAGGCUGGGACAAUUCUUCAGUUAUUUGAAAAAAGUUUAUGGCCUCCGAUGGUCCCGUCUUCUGGACAGAAAUGCCCUAUUUCUUUACCUUUGUCUGAAAUAUUAUGGCCCCAAGUUUCUCCCACUCCCUGGUCAAGGGUUACUGAGAACACCGGAAUACAGAUCUGAAAUAGAAUGUCUGCGUUAAUGCUGCUUCAGGUUUCACAGAACAACACUCCAAGUAUUCAUGUUUAAGGAAAAAUCAAAAAUCAUAAUGAAUCUAAGUGAGCAAGCUCUCAGCCUCCAUGAAGAAAAGUGAAUCUUAAAGAGUGUCGUGGCUGUGCCAGUGAGCGCCUCCAGUGGUGUUUGCAAGACUUGAGGAGAAACCGAGAGCACUGAUUUUACUGGAAGGCUUGGUGCCGAAACCUUUUAUCUUUAGAGAAUAGCAUGCAAAUGUACACGUUUUAAAGAAUGCACGUGGUUGUGGUCAUUCACUUUAGGCUCACCUCCACACACCUGAUCCUGUCUUCUGCACGUGUGGUGGGGAGUGCUGAGAAGCAGUGGUGCAGUAGAGGCAUCACUGGAAACAAAUCUGGGCCCUUACUUCUCAAUUCACUCCUCUCGCUAUUUACAUGUCCUAUACAACCUUACACGCUGUCCUUUCUAGGCCAGUUCCCUGAUUUGUAAAAUGGAAAAUAAAAUAAU